AAUCUUCCGCAAUGGACGAAAGUCUGACGGAGCAACGCCGCGUGAGUGAUGAAGGUUUUCGGAUCGUAAAACUCUGUUGUCAGGGAAGAACAAGUAUCGGAGUAACUGCCGGUACCUUGACGGUACCUCACCAGAAAGCCACGGCCAACUCCGUGCCAGCAGCCGCGGUAAUACGUAGGGGGCCAGCGUGGUCCGGAAUUAUUGGGCGUAAAGGGUGCGAAGGCGGUCUUCUAAGUCUGAUGUGAAAUCUCGUAGCUUAACUACGAGCGGUCAUUGGAAACUGGGAGACUUGAGUACAGAAGAGGAGAGUGGAAUUCCAUGUGUAGCGGUGAAAUGCGUAGAUAUGUGGAGGAACACCAGUGGCGAAGGCGGCUCUCUUGUCUGUAACUGACGCUGAGGUGCGAAAGCGUGGGGAGCGAACA
rnacentral:rRNA from 1 species